rnacentral:tRNA from 1 species
GCUCAGUUGGUAGAGUACUUGCCUCACAUGCAGAAGGUCCUGGGUUCAAUCCCCAG